UACAGAGGGGGCGAGCGUUUGUUCGGAAUUACUGGGCGUAAAGGGCGCGUAGGCGGCCUCUUAAGUCGAACGUGAAAUCCCCGGGCUCAACCCGGGAACUGCGUCCGAUACUGGGGGGCUUGAAUCCGGGGAGAGGGAUGUGGAAUUCCAGGUGUAGCGGUGAAAUGCGUAGAUAUCUGGAGGAACACCGGUGGCGAAGGCGGCAUCCUGGACCGGUAUUGACGCUGAGGCGCGAAAGCCAGGGGAGCAAACGGG
rnacentral:rRNA from 1 species